UGCCUAACACAUGCAAGUCGAACGAGAAAGUGGAGCAAUCCAUGAAGUAAAGUGGCGACCGGGUGAGUAACACGUGACUAACCUACCUCCGAGUGGGGAAUAACUCCGGGAAACCGGGGCUAAUACCGCAUAACAUCGCAAGAUCAAAGCAGCAAUGCGCUUGGAGAGGGGGUCGCGGCUGAUUAGCUAGUUGGCGGGGUAACGGCCCACCAAGGCGAAGAUCGGUAUCCGGCCUGAGAGGGCGCACGGACACACUGGAACUGAAACACGGUCCAGACUCCUACGGGAGGCAGCAGUGGGGAAUUUUGCGCAAUGGGGGAAACCCUGACGCAGCAACGCCGCGUGGAGGAUGAAGCCCUUUGGGGCGUAAACUCCUUUCGACUCGGACGAUAAUGACGGUACGAGUGGAAGAAGCACCGGCUAACUCUGUGCCAGCAGCCGCGGUAAUACAGAGGGUGCAAGCGUUGUUCGGAAUUAUUGGGCGUAAAGGGCGCGUAGGCGGUGCCACAAGUCACUUGUGAAAUCUCCGGGCUUAACUCGGAGUCUGCAGGCGAAACUGUGGUGCUGGAGUGUGGGAAAAGUGCGUGGAAUUCCCGGUGUAGCGGUGAAAUGCGUAAAUUUCGGGAGGAACACCUGUGGCGAAAAGCGGCGCACUGGACCAUAACUGACGCUGAUGCGCGAAAGCUAGGGGAGCAAACAAGGAUUAAAUUACCUGGUAGUCCUA
rnacentral:rRNA from 1 species